GGCCGCGUAACUCAGUUGGAAGAGCAUUGGGCUAGUAUUCCAAAGGUCGUAGGUUCGAAUCCCACCGUGGCCG
rnacentral:tRNA from 1 species